ACUACUUUAUAUAAAAUAGCAGACCAGAUAGAUAUUUUACAGUUUGCUGAAGAAUUGUUUGGUAAAGAAGAUCAACUUCUCAAGAUGAACCUCGUACAGAUCCUGUGUACCAUUUUAUUACUGGGGGUUUCUGUGAUUGCUUUUCCUGCUAUUUUCUCUCAGUCUCCAUCAGUUAUUCCUGUGACUCCUGGACAGUCUGUCACCCUGGAAUGUGCUGUGAAAAAUGAAAAUGUUUCAAUGUGUGGCUGUGUUCUGGAUUCGCCAGUCACCUGGAAAGGCACCUGAAGGUGUUCUAUUUUACAUGCCUGACAACAAAAUCUACAGAGCUCCUGCGAUAACAGAUCGAUUUGUACCUUCAAGAGAUACAGUCAGGAGUUAUUACCUUCUCACAAUUAAUAAUGUCGAGGCAAAUGACGACUCCAAAUACUACUGUUUUGUUUACUAUGGUGAUGGGUCUCAAGCAUGGGGAGAAGGAACUCGCGUACAAGUUCUGAAAAGUGACUUGUCUCCCCCAUCUGUUCAAGUGUUUCGCACCCCAGAAGAGCAGCUCAGUGGUUCAGGUUAUGUGACCAUCAGCUGCCUGGUGAGCGGCUUCUUCCCGGGUUACAUAGACAUCCAGUGGACUGUGGAUGGUCAGCGAGUGACAGACAACGUUCAGUCCAGCCAGGUGACUUUGGACAGCAGUGGAAAUUCCUUCUUGGCCAUUAGUUACCUGAAGCUGCCCAUUGCUAAGUGGAAGACUAAUGUGAGAUACUUCUGUAUUGUCACUCAUGAAUCCAGUAAGAUUCCAGUCAUUGGUUCUGUGGCACUUCAAGACUGCAAUUCCUUCUAAAGGGCUUUGGUUCAGCUUCACAAACACCAAAAGUAAAAAA